CGGAGAGGAGCAUGAGAAACGGCUACCACAUCCAAGGAAGGCAGCAGGCGCGCAAAUUACCCAAUCCCGACACGGGGAGGUAGUGACAAUAAAUACUGAUACAGGGCUCUUUUGGGUCUUGUAAUUGGAAUGAGUACAAUUUAAAUCCUUUAACGAGGAACAAUUGGAGGGCAAGUCUGGUGCCAGCAGCCGCGGUAAUUCCAGCUCCAAUAGCGUAUAUUAAAGUUGUUGCAGUUAAAAAGCUCGUAGUUGAACCUUGGGCCUGGCUGGCCGGUCCGCCUCACCGCGUGCACUGGUCCGGCCGGGCCUUUCCUUCUGGGGAGCCGCAUGCCCUUCACUGGGUGUGUCGGGGAACCAGGACUUUUACUUUGAAAAAAUUAGAGUGUUCAAAGCAGGCCUAUGCUCGAAUACAUUAGCAUGGAAUAAUAGAAUAGGACGUGUGGUUCUAUUUUGUUGGUUUCUAGGACCGCCGUAAUGAUUAAUAGGGAUAGUCGGGGGCAUCAGUAUUCAAUUGUCAGAGGUGAAAUUCUUGGAUUUAUUGAAGACUAACUACUGCGAAAGCAUUUGCCAAGGAUGUUUUCAUUAAUCAGUGAACGAAAGUUAGGGGAUCGAAGACGAUCAGAUACCGUCGUAAUCU
rnacentral:rRNA from 1 species